GCCUCGAUAGCUCAGUUGGUAGAGCAGCGGAUUGAAAAUCCGCGUGUCCCUGGUUCAAUCCCGGGUCGAGGCACCA
rnacentral:tRNA from 2 species